AUGUGUCAUGUCUGUAUGCUGAAGCAUGCUGUCUCUCACAUGGAUUUCAAUUAUGAACCGUAUGCUCAUGGUUAUGUAUGCUUUCUGUUUCAUAUAUGUGCCAAUGAUGUAGUGUAUAAUAAAUCCAAUCUAACAAGUAUAGUAUCUGGGUGUGGUUUUACCUUCUAUGACCCGCUUGUAGUUUGGGAGGGCUAUCAAGGGUCGGGGCAUUUAUUAUAUGAACAGUUCUAUCGUUUUUACUUUUUGGUACUGCAUAGAGUUGGACCUCCAUUUGUAGAACAACUUCUCAGUUCUCCAGAUCCUUGUCAUGCUCAAUUAUGUCCAUCCUGA
rnacentral:rRNA from 1 species